rnacentral:rRNA from 1 species
GUCUACGGCUAUGCUACCCUGAACAAGCCUGACCUCAUGUGAUCUCAGAAGCUAAGCAGGGUCAGGCCUGGUUAGUACUUGGAUGGAAGACCACCUAGGAAGACCAGGUGCUGUAGUCA